rnacentral:rRNA from 1 species
UACGUAGGGGGGCAAGCGUUGUCCGGAUUUAUUGGGCGUAAAGAGCGUGUAGGCGGCUUGACAGGUCUGCUGUGAAACCUCCAGGCUCAACCUGGAGACGCCACCCGAUACUGCUGUGGCUAGAGUCCGGUAGGGGAGCGUGGAAUUCCUGGUGUAGCGGUGAAAUGCGCAGAUAUCAGGAGGAACACCGGUGGCGAAGGCGGUUCUCUGGGCAUUACCUGACGCUGAGGUGCGAAAGCGUGGGGAGCAAACAGG